CACGUAGGGGGCGAGCGUUGUCCGGAUUCAUUGGGCGUAAAGGGCGCGCAGGCGGCCCGGAAAGUCGGAUGUGAAAACUCGGGGCUCAACCCCGAGCGUGCACCCGAUACUGCCGGGCUUGAGGCAGGUAGGGGAGAUCGGAAUUCCUGGUGUAGCGGUGAAAUGCGCAGAUAUCAGGGGGAACACCGGUGGCGAAGGCGGAUCUCUGGGCCUGUCCUGACGCUGAGGCGCGAAAGCUAGGGGAGCGAACAGG
rnacentral:rRNA from 1 species